rnacentral:rRNA from 1 species
UUGGCAGAGGGGGGUGGAAUUCCUGGUGUAGCAGUGAAAUGCGUAAAUAUCAGGAGGAACACCGAUGGCGAAGGCAGCCCCCUGGGCCUGUACUGACGCUCAAGCACGAAAGCGUGGGGAGCAAACAGGAUUAGAUACCCUGGUAGUCCACGCCCUAAACGAUGUCGACUAGUUGUUCGGAGGGUAAAACCUUUUAGUGCCGUAGCUAACG